GCCUCGUUAGCUCAAUUGGCUAGAGCAUCAGACUCUUAAUCUGGGGGUUAUAGGUUCGAGCCCUAUACGGGGCACCA
rnacentral:tRNA from 1 species